rnacentral:rRNA from 1 species
UAGGGAAUCUUCCACAAUGGACGCAAGUCUGAUGGAGCAACGCCGCGUGAGUGAAGAAGGUUUUCGGACCGUAAAGCUCUGUUGUUGGUGAAGAAGGAUAGAGGUAGUAACUGGCCUUUAUUUGACGGUAAUCAACCAGAAAGUCACGGCUAACUACGUGCCAGCAGCCACGGUAAUACGUAGGUGGCAAGCGUUGUCCGGAUUUAUUGGGCGUAAAGCGAGCGCAGGCGGAAGAAUAAGUCUGAUGUGAAAGCCCUCGGCUUAACCGAGGAAUUGCAUCGGAAACUGUUUUCUUGAGUGCAGAAGAGGAGAGUAGAACUCCAUGUGUAGCGGUGGAAUGCGUAGAUAUAUGGAAGAAUACCAGUGGCGAAGGCGGCUCUCUGGUCUGCAACUGACGCUGAGGCUCGAAAGCAUGGGUAGCGAACAGGAUUAGAUACCCUGGUAGUCCAUGCCGUAAACGAUGAGUGCUAAGUGUUGGGAGGCUUCCGCCUCUCAGUGCUGCAGCUAACGCAUUAAGCACUCCGCCUGGGGGAGUACGACCGCAAGGUUGAAAC